rnacentral:ncRNA from 1 species
AAGUAGUGUGAACGAAAGAUGAAAAGAACUCUAAAACAGAGGGUGAAAAGUUCCUGAACUUGCUUAGGGUUAAGGCUAUUUAUAGUACCCGUCUUGAAACACGGAUUAGGGAGUUUAUCUGUAGUGCGAGUCUUUGCACGUUAACUGUAAAGGCGUAGAGAAAGCAACUGGCGUUUGCAUGGCUACUGAGCAUUACUGAUAGGACCCGAAAGGUGGUGAACUUUGCCUGCACAGGUUGAAGUCAGGGGAAACUCUGAUGGAGGACCGUACGGGUUAUUGAUGUGCAAAUCAUUUUUCUGAUGUAGGUAAAGGUGCGAAAGACUCAUCGAACCACCUAAUAGCUGGUUUCCUCCGAAGUUUCCCUCAGGAUAGCUGUAAUGCAUUUAGUUAAGGGGAGUAGAGAUAUGGGUAGAGGUGCAGGGAGCCUUCGGGUUCUCAACUUAUUUCCAAACUUCGAACCUCCUUGUUAGGCAUUUACCUAACUGGAAAUGCUUAAAUGAAUUAGCGUUACAAGUGGGCUCUGACCGGUAAGCGGUCAUGGCGAAAUGGGAUGAACCAUACGUCUGAAUAAGGUGCCGAAAUGUACUAUCACUGAUACCAUAAAGGGAGUCCAUGUAUUUAGACAGCAGGUCGGUGCCCCUAAAAGCAGGUAUCCGCUAAAGAGUGUGUUAAAACUCACCUGCCGAAUACUAGGGCCCCGAAAAUGAAUGGCGCAUAUAGUACUACCGAUCUCAGACAUCAGUUCUAUUGAACUGAGAGUAGGGGGAUGUGGACAUUUUUGUGAAGGUGCAAUGUGAGUUGGACUGGAAGAAUGUCUAUUACAGAUCCUAAUUGAAGUAGCGAUUAUCCAGGCUUGUAUCCUGGGGGCUGAUGAGGAGUAGGGUUUCUGGACAACUUAAACAGAUCCAGAGUUAGUCGAUCCUAAUCUCAAUAAUGGAGAAAGGGAGUACAGUUGAUAU